GGGAAAAAAAAAAGGGGGGGAAAAAGGGGGAGAAUCAAGAAAGAACGCGAGAUAGAGUGUCUGGGGGUACGUUAAAAAGUAAAGAUAGAAAUGCCAUGCCGUAAGGUUGUGUUUAUUAGAUAUUCCAAAUAAGAUGAAUCAUAAUAACUCCGCAAAUCUCGAUUUCAUCGAGAUAAAUCAUCCAAUUCUCCCGCCCUAUCAGCUUUCGAUGGUAGUGUAUUGGACUACCAUGGCUCUCACGGGUAACAGGGAAUACGGGCCAAGAAACCCGGAGAAGGAGCCUGAGACACGGUCACUACAUCUGAGGGAGGGCAGCAGGCGCGUCAAUUACCCAAUCCUGACUCAGGGAGGUGGUGACAAGAUAUAAUAACCCUAUUAACGUAGUGAUUAUAGUGAGGAUAUUCCAAACAGAAUCACAAGAACGAUUAGAGGGCAAGUCUGGUGCCAGCAGCCGCGGUAAUUCCAGCUCUAUAGCGUAUAUAAAGUUGCUGCAGUUAGAAGCUCGUAGUUGGAUUCAAGGAUUCUAUUCUAUGGAAGUGACCUAUAGCCUUUCAGGUGUUCUGUGAGAAAUAAAGUGUUAAGCAGGCUCUGCAGAUCCUAGCUGGAUACGAUGGUCAGAUCUGCUAUCAAUCCGAUAUAGACGGUGGGCUGAUUAUGCGAGGGAUCUGAUGUAGAUACAUGGAGCUGCGGGUCUCACAGAGGAAACACGCGACUUAACCCAGGAGAUCCUCUAAAAUGUGGGGCAAAUAGAAGGGCUAGAAGAGAUUGCG
rnacentral:rRNA from 1 species